UUGCUUCGGCAGUACAGAUACUAAAAUUGGAACGACACAGAGAAUAUUAGCAUGGCCCCUGCGCAAGGAUGAGGCGCAGAUCCUCUCUCUCUCCUCUCUCUCU